UAUAAAAAAAAAUAAAAUUAAAUUAAAUCUACAACGUUUUUCAUUAAAUUGACUAGGCACAAAGGAAUGCAUUAAUCAAGAAAUUUCUACGCAGUUUCACUGAUCUUGAAACAGAAGAAAAAAGGAUCGGAGAUACAGAUAGUUACAUGAUUUUCAUGCACGCACUCUCACGACGUGGAAGCAUACAAACACCCACGAUGAACAAAAGAAAACAAAGAGUGAAAGAUAAGUCAUCUGAAUAGUUAAAAGCUUAGGAGAGAUGACAUAGAUAUUGAGAUAAGCCAAAACAGAUAGAGACAAUAUAUAUCUAUAUAUCUAUAUAUUAAGUGAAUUCCUUGGAAAUGUUUGUCACUUAUGGUGUCUCAAACAGAAACUAGUUGGUUUGGUUCUGUUUGUGUUUGUGCUUGCAAAUUCCUCUCCCUAUCUACUUGAUUCCUUUAAUCUUAUCUUACUAGGGGAAAAAAAAAAAAACAAAUAGGGUUAAUUGAGGCACUGCAAUUAUAUAUAUAGACGUACACAGACGGAUACUGAGACAUGGAGCGUGGGGUGUUCUCCUUUACACGACCUUUUUAGUAUCCAUGUGCCUUCAUCACCUUCAACCUAGGUAGUGGAUCGUCUCACAUGAAAGACAAACAGCUAAAAAGUAUGGUGAUCUUCUGACCUAGGAGUGCAUGAGUUCUCUCAAAAACGGGGUGAAGGAAGAAGGAGAAGCACCUACAGAGCGUGCGGCUUUCCUGCAUGUGUCACCAUCUGGCUGCAAAAACAUGGAGCUUUAGUGAUAUCUUCUGUUCUGAAGCACUACUGGAGAGUAAAACAAACAAAAAGUGACCAAAA
rnacentral:lncRNA from 1 species